UACAGAGGUCCCAAGCGUUGUUCGGAUUCACUGGGCGUAAAGGGUGUGUAGGCGGCCCGGUAAGUCCGCUGUAAAAGUCAAAGGCUCAACCUUUGAAUGUCAGUGGAUACUGCCGGGCUAGAGUCCGGAAGAGGCGAGUGGAACUCCUGGUGUAGCGGUGGAAUGCGCAGAUAUCAGGAAGAACACCAACGGCGAAGGCAGCUCGCUGGGACGGUACUGACGCUGAGACGCGAAAGCGUGGGGAGCGAACAGG
rnacentral:rRNA from 1 species